GAAAGUUAAUUAUAUCAAUAAAAUUACAUUUAUUACCCCCAAAAAAAAAUAAUUUAUAUUUCAGCAACUAACAUGAAUUGUCAAUUAUAUUAAUAAAAUUACAUUUUAAUCAUCUGAAAAGACCAAAACUCCACAUCCAACUGGAGAAUAAGAUUGACACCAAGAACUGAGUAAUUGAUAAUGCCCACAUUGACAUCUUAACAUAAAAUACAUAUAAGAAAAGCAAAGAAACCAUGCCAAAUAAUUGCAGCAACUCCUUUGAAGGUUUGUCUGGUAAAGUCUGUUCCUUGCAUCUCAAAUUCUCAAUACUCUUGUCAUCCAAGCCCUACAAAAUGCAUAUAAGAAAAAUAAUCUUGUAAUAUGUCACAUAAUUCAAGUUGAAUAAUUUACUUAAUUAAUUUCACAGAGUUAACAACCUCAACAUUUGAUAUAUUGGCAUGCAUUACAAAUUUUACCUGGAUUACCCAGGUCCAAAAGUAAAACUCACAAACCAUAUAUAACAAAAUUCUAUAAAACAGUAUAGAAACGAUAAUCCACUUGACCUGUUGAGGGGGAGGUGUGCUAAGCCAUCCAAGUAGAAAAGUACAAGAUAUAAGUUUCUGCGAGACCAUGGCCAGUUAGCUAAAUCACCACAUCUGCGAUUAAAAGCCACAAGGCAUUCAGAUUCAAAAGAUUGGAAAGAACUUUGCGAUGCAACUAUCUCAUUUCAGAUAAGGGAGCUUCUGAAUGAAUAGCCUAAGUCAUAUGUACAGUUACAUGUAUUCCUUUCUUACAAAUAAAUGAACUUUACCUUUUGGUAAAGCAUAAAAGAAGAAUCAGUAGCCUAGGUUCCUAGCCACAAUAGGACCAGGUUGCGGUUAUAAUGGCAUACAGAGAAUACUAGGAACCAGAAUUGAUUAUGAAUAACUUGACUACAUUUUCAUGGUCACCAAGGUGGUUGUGGAUACAAUGUAGUUAUUGUAUAAAUAUAUUUCCAAAAACCAUAAAAAACAUAUAAGUGACAUGUAAAACUGGAUAAGCAGGUUGCAAAUUCUAGAAGUCGUGUGGUGAGGAAGAUGUAAAAGAUAAUCUACAAAAAAUCAAAACCAUCGAGCCAUUUAUCAUGGAAGAAACCAUGUGAACAAAGAUAAUGUACUAUAUUGGUCAGCAGUUUCAGAUUUAAAUGAAUUAUCAAAACCAAGACAUAUGAGCUUCUAAACUUAAAAAAUCUCAACCUAGCUUGUAGCACCAGCUCUUUGUUUAAUCUGCAGUUCCGUGGAACUGUCAAUCAUGACCCAAAUACAACCAUCACUGUAACUAGAAGCAUAUAUGGAAAGAUAAACUUCAAAUUUAGAGUGUGGAACAUUAUGCACAUUCACGUACCUUAGUUUUAAAGUCCAUACCGUAGCAAACUGAGAUAUUACAAAGUACCUAACACAAGCUAUUACCAACUGAAGUGAGGCAUCUUCAUCUGGUUCUUUAUAUUGCAAAGAGCUUGGAGUCAUGCCAUGGAGAAGUGAGAGUUCCUGUAGCAACAGUACGAUAUGCGGAUAAACUCAUACCCAAGGCAAAGACACAUCUACUUACUUGGUAGAUUGAGAAGCUUUGAAGUGGGCUACCCCUUUUGCACAAUUAUGUGCUAGUAAAGCAGAUUCUAAGACAUCACCGGAAGCAGAGGCUUAUGCAGAUUCUUAAACAUUUUUAAAAUAAUACAGGCAAAAAUAAUAUAUUUAGAUAGCAAGAUCCCCAAUUGAAGGACUGGAACACAAUAGAAAACAUUUAACAAUAAACAAUAAAAUUCAUAUAGACAUUUAACCAUAUACAAAUAAAUUAUGAAUAAUAAGCUUCAGGAAAAAAAAUCAUAUUGUAACUUAAUAUAUGUGGAAAAAAGAUAAGAAAGACAGAGUUUUUCCAUAUGCAUAAAAAAAAAAAAAAAAAAAAAAAUCAAACCUUUAGAGCAAUACUACCUCUCAAAUGUCAAACAAAAAAUUAGGAUCCUAACAAAUAUAAAGUCCAUUGAUGACAAAGACAAUGGAGCCUAAUUUAACUUGCACAAGAGGUUUACACCUAAUUUUCAACAAAAUAAAGAAAGCAGAACCGAAUAAUUUAAGCCUAAUUUGAAUUUAUCAACCAACAAAGCCAUGGAGAAGAUCAGAUUUUGAAGAAACUAGUACAAAGCUAGUACCUUUUCACUAACAAUACCCUAUGACAACAACGAAAUUGACUUAUUUCUUCAACUAAUCAUGAAAUAAUGAAAUGGGUUAUCAAGAUCAAGAGAGAGAGAUUACCUCUGAGGAGUCAAUUUUUCUUCAGUUGUUUAUUGUUUGAAAAACCCUAAACAAAAAGAGUAUAAGAACUUAAGUAAAUAGAUCUGUAAAAAAGUGAUUUGUGGGAAAGCCCUAAGAAAUAAUAGAAAUUAGAGAGAAAUUGAAGAUACAUACCAGAGCCCAUGAGGAGGAGAGAGAGAGAGAGAGAGGCUAGUCAAAGACUCAGAGUAAGGGAGUUUGCUAAAUAAAAAUCGAUGAAAAUAUUAGAGGGAAGUGAAAAAUAAUGGCGCCCAGUUUUUAGUGUGGCUGAGUGAUUUGUUUCGACGGCUAACUCAAAAAUUUGAACUUAUGAGCGACGAAAUCACUGGGUGAGGGGCAAAGGUCGUCGCUACAGCGACUACUAGUGGUCAUCGAUAUUUGUGUCAUAAAGGAAAAUUCUAGAAACCGAGAAAUUGCGAUGGCUUUUAAGUUUUGCG
rnacentral:lncRNA from 1 species